UACAGAGGGUGCAAGUGUUAAUCGGAAUUACUGGGCGUAAAGCGUGCGCAGACGGUUGCGUAAGUCAGAUGUGAAAGCCCCGGGCUCAACCUGGGAAUUGCAUUUGAGACUGCGUAGCUAGGGUGCGGAAGAGGGAAGCGGAAUUUCCGGUGUAGCGGUGAAAUGCGUAGAUAUCGGAAGGAACACCAGUGGCGAAAGCGGCUUCCUGGUCCAGCACCGACGUUCAGGCACGAAAGCGUGGGGAGCAAAAGGG
rnacentral:rRNA from 1 species